UGAUACCUCGUAGAACAUCGAUAUUUCGUCUAGUCCACGAUACCUCGAUGCUUUUCAUUAGAGCUACGAGACGCCCUCACAGUGGAAACUCGACAGUCGAGCCGAACAUAAAGACCCGUGGCAAAAUGAGCUCGUUACCUCCAAAGGUGCCAUUAAAUUCGAGGACCUGUAAUCUGUCUUCGUCAAAGUCUCCUUCAUCGCCUCCGUCGCGGGACAGAGAAUCCUUGGAGAAAUUAACAACUUUCGAAUAUUCCAUUUAACACGUUGUUAACAAGCAAGCUGCCCUUUGAUGAAAAGUAAUCUGCGUUUACCGAUACAUUAGCAAUUUUAAUCUAUCGUUUAUACCGUACGCGUACGGUGCCUACACUCUAUUUCUAUUGGCAGAAGAUUUGGUUUCCAUUCCAGAUACAUUACGCAAAGUAAGAAAAAUCGAUAUUGUGCAAAGGAAUACUCGGAAUUUAUAUGUGCGUAGAACAAUUGAAAACGAUAAAUAAAUAUCAUUUAUUCGAUCGCUGUGAAAAUCAAUCGAUACUACGAAUAUAAACUACGAUUUUCCAAAAGUGGCUUUAACAUUUUGUUUAAAAUAUUUAAAAUUUAAAUUAAAUAUGUAAUAUUUAAAAUAUUUUGUAUAUUAAAAAUUAUAAUUCUGAUGCCUGUUUUGGACAACUCUUUAUUGAUGAUUAUUAAACUGGAAAUUUUGUACAUUCGUGAAUAAUCCUAAUAUGACAUUCAAUUUUUAUUGGAAGAACCAUCGUCAUUAUCUACGCAUAUUUCGUCUUGUUCCUUUUCCUAUUUUUUGCGAGACAACCUGUGUCUCUUGGUGCUCUGCGCGCUGCGCUGUACAAUUGUUCGGAUACGUACAUGGGUACUAACAAAUUACGUAUUACAUAUUACAACAGAAGUUGUACAAAUGGUCGUAUGAAUCGUGACGAAUAUUAUUCACUGUUGGUUCCUUAAUUCGCAAAACCAUACCAACAGGCCGACAUGUAUAACAGUUGUCGUCGCAGUUUGUAUAAAAGUAAAUAUUUACAAAGAAAAUGCUAAUCUUGAACGGUAUACAUAAUUUCCUCGCGCACGCAAACCUCAUUGUCAGCAUUAGUGUUCGUCCCGAACAAUACAGAUUGAAACCGAGCGAACCUUCUCUAAGGAGAAAUGGGACAUUUUCCACCAUGCCACUUUGUCCAAAUAAAUUGAAAUUUAUAUUAUAAUUGUAUUCCGGAAAAUAACAGUUGCACAAAGAGACGGACAAAUGAAAUUGAACAAAUUAUACCUCGAAAGAGCCAUCAAAUUUUUCAACGGGCGAUACAUUUUCACAAUAAGUGAUACACUGGAAAAUAAACGUUAAAUUAACAUUGUGUCACACUCUAAAGAAACCUAGACAGAUGUAGGCAAUCCGGGUGGAAAGUCGAUACUUGGCAUUUCAUCGACCGUUAUCUUUCGAUAUUUCUCGAUGCAAUUUUUCGAGUAUAGAACAUAUUUGUUGAUUUAUAAAUCGAUUCUAAUGCGAUUAAGGUAGAGUAUAUUUGUUCUUACGUUCGUAAUGCGUACAAAAGCAUACAAAAGCGCUAUUUCACUUUUAUAUCAAAUACUUUCACAAUUUCCUUCCGUGUUCGAUAUUUUCAAGAUCAUCGGAUGCAUUGUCAUCUAGCACGCUUCGCAACGAUUAUUAACAUCGACGAUUCAUGCGCGCCGUUUAAAAAAAAAAAAUAUAUAUAUAUAUAUAUGUAUAUGUAUAUAAUACGUACAGUUCUUUCCAUUCAAAAUAUCCUAUACUAUGUACAACGUCGCGCGAUAUCAAGCGUUUUUUCCCUUACAAUUAAUUUAGCGUACAACAAUAUCAUUCUUACAUUGACAUCGCUCAUCUCUGUUUAAUUAAUCGAGUAAAAACGAUUGGCACGAGCCGAUAAUUCAUGGAAAUUAAUUAAUCAUUCCCAUGUACCAAAGACCUUUGAAACAUGUGUCCAUUGAAUUUUGCAUCCUCAUUCGAGAAUAGUGAUGUAUCACAGAGUAACGUAUUUAUUAUACCUACUAAUAUAACAGAAGCACAACUUUUACGUUAUAUCGCAUAUCUCCCGUACUUGGUACAUCACACGAUAAAUAAAUGUCUCUUGUCAAAUUCUGUGUACAUGUUGUUCGGAUUUUUUCUACAACUAUUCAUGUCGAUUUAUUGAUACGUGUAUUUAGCGUAGUAAGUAACUCAUUUGUUAGGUUUAACCGUACAGAUCGAUCUUACAUACAUACUCGUAUAUGUAUGUAUAUCAAGUUGUAUCACGCUGACGCAAUCAUGAUCGGUACGACUAUGAUCCAAAUUCCUUAAUUACUUGUCCGUUAUGUUGUAGACGUAUCGAUAAUCUGAGACUGAGCAGAUACUCUCAUGAAAUGGUCGUUUUAAAUCAACAACGAUCAUUUGAAUAUUCAUACGAGAAUCGUAAGAAUCGCUAAAUGCAUGAUCUGUUGCAUAGGCGAAAUGGUGAAAAAGAAAUAUUUAUCAAUGAUCUAACGAUACAUUAGAAGAAUUAAAUACAAAAAUUGAUUCCCGAUGGGAAUAUAGAUAACUAUUUUUACUGAAUUUUCUUGACAUUUUUUACUUUGUCUGUACGGCUAAUUAAUCGUAGAAACAAAAAACGAAUUAAAUGUAUAUUUCAUGACUUGGCUAUGUCAUAAUUUUUGCUACACCUGAAAUAUCGGUAAUUCACAUUGAAGAGUAUAUGCACACACAUCUAUAGCUUAAUAUAGGGUAGAGAAAUUCGAUGUUACGGGAACUGCAAUAAUACCGGGCAAUUCUUUGUCGAUCCAUUGUGGCUAGUACGGAAACGACUAUGCUUGCAAUCUUUUAUAAUAUCUAGAACAAUGAAAAACUAUUAGAAGAAGAUACAUCGGGAAUAUCAUUAAGGAUUUCUGAACCUUUGAUAAUAUUAUAUUACCCUAUCGCAUUUGGCAAUUGAUUGACAAUUCCGUUAUUUUAUACAUAGGUGUAUGUCUGGUAUAUCGUCCAUACGAAUCACCGUGAAGCGUUAUAAAAAAUAUUCGAUGAUGAUAGCAAUAUCAGUUAUGUAUUUUAUAUGUAUAUGUAUAUGUAUAGAUUAAUCCUUAGCACGUUUUAUUCGAUGAAUGAUGUUAUACGUUUAAGCUGAAGCCAUUCAUCGGUACUAAAACUACCGAAAUAUCUUUCACGGUGCCAGCGGCCUAUCAACGGAUCGACCAAAAUAUUGCAUACGGCGGACGUUCUCGAGAUGGGCAAAAUAAUCCCUUGAAUAAGAAAUUUCGAAAAGUUCAACAAUUUCGAAUCCAUCAGAUUUGUCAAAGAAACUAUGAAUCGUAAUAGACAUUGGCACAUUCCUUUUAUAAUAACUUUACUCGUAUCCCGAGCAAUAGGUGCAAUCGAUGCAAGGCGCCUUUUACUUAUACCGGCCAAAACACAAAAAUGAUCGGCAACCCUGCCAAACACGCGUAUGUGUCUGAAAGUUUAAAAGAGAGUGUACAUUUGUGUGUUCAUAUAUUUAAACAGAUUUCAGGACCAUUUCUUACAAAAGCAAUUUUCUCAAAAAUUAAAAUAAAGUUUAAACAAGUUUCACGUUUAGUUAAUUAAAUUCUGCCCAUCUCUGUCUAAUACAAGUACAACAAGUACAUCGAGUUCUCGCGGUAAAUACGAACAUUAAAAAGUCGUUCGCGAGUCGUUGAAUUGGAUAUACUUAAGCGAUAUACAAACAUUUCUCCAAAAAUACAUUAUGUAGGUAAUAUCAUACUCCUCCGAGGUUUUUUCUGUCUCUCAGGAAACUCGAUGAAGAGAAUUCGUUUGACCCUGCUGAUCGUAAAAGUAAUCGGUUUCCCUGUCAUUCAUAAACGCCUAAAAAUUUUCCCACGCAUUUGUCACGCCAGUCAAUAUAAAAUUAAGUACAUAGUAUAUAUAUAUAUAUAUAUAUAUAUAUAUAUAUAUAUAUAUAUAUGUAUAUCGUGGAGAAAAUUUGACUUUAACGACGUGUAUCGGGGUGACGAUCGUGAACCUUUCAGCUUUCGACUCACCCUAACAACUGUCGUACAAAAUGUUAAAUGACAGAUAAACAUUGGUCUCAGAGUAAAAUCUGUUCAAGUAUGAUUUCGAUAGGUUUCUUUUUUUGGCGAGUAAAAAAAGAAAACAACAAGAAUAUCGGGAUAAACAUUUUUCUGUAUUCAAUUAUCAUUAAAAUUUCAGCAGACUAGAAAUCCUUUUAAUGAUUUUCAUCGUAAUAUUCUUUUUCUCUGGAAUAUUUUCCCCUUUGAUACUGUAUAAAUGCUGUAUCGUACGAAUGAAAUUUACAUGCUUCGUUAAAUUUAAUCAUCAAUUGUCUAUGAAUUGUACAUAUAUCUAUGUAUACAAGUAUGUAGAUCGAGAAUAGUAUCCAAAGCUGUCGAGAACCCUGUUCGUGUAAACGGUUACGUUGGAAAAAUAUUGUUCGUCGUUUCGCUUAUCUAUUUAAUCGUGACUUCCACGCGAGUAUCGCUUAGUUAGAAUUUGGGUAGUGGUAAGCGUGAACGAGUACGGUAAAAAACAACCGACCUAAACGAAUCAAUCUCUUAGAUAAUUUCGCAAUCGUCGUUUCGUUCCGAUUGCGAAUGCGGAUAAUUGAAUACGUACAAGUAAUACGAAUCGUCGAGUGAUUCUCAUGCAAAGUGAUAUGGCUUCUACGAAGAUGCGAGUUUCUUGUUCCCACUGACAUGUUUCUCUUAUCAUGACAAAGGAGGGUCGACGAAAAUCAUGUAUCUCACUUUCGCCCUUCCUUUGUUUUCUCAUUCUAGGUAAUGUAGGCUUACAACAUUUAAUUGGAUUGGCGUCUCUACUACAGCCUUUGGACGGAUGGUUGCCACUCGCGACAGUUGUUCGAUUACCGAUGGUGUCUGUCGAUUUAGUUUCCAUCAGAUUCACAACAAAUCGAUGACGCAUAAUACUACCAUAAUUAACAAAAAAGAUAUGUAUUUGUAAAAGACGUUGAUGUAACUUUAUGAAAAUAAAACAACAAAUAAAUAACAAAGUUCCUGUAGAUCUGAAUUGUGUUUCUUUAUUUUUAUGGUCUCCGUUGCAUUUAAGAAUUUCGAUUUGUUACAAACCUAGCGUUAUUUGUAAAUGUAUCUAUGUAUGUAUCGAUCGAAAUGUGGCAACCCAAUGCAAGAUCAGCUCAUCUUACAUUUUUUAAGAUAUGUAACCUGGACUUGACUACAUCACGAUAGGUAUAUCGUGCCAACAACGAAAAGUUGUCGAGAUAGAAACAUUUGAUGAAACUUCAAGAUCAAAGUGUCGCUAAUUCCGGUAAUUAUAGAGAACAGUCUGUGUUCUCUAUAAUUACCCUAAUUCCUUCAACGUAUCAUCUACGUGAACGUCCGAAAAUUGGUAAAAUUUGUUCGAAAUGGUCGACAUGGCGAUUCAUAAAUAUAUACGCAAUGUCAUGCAACAAAGUCCAGACACAUGUAAUGUAAGAAUUGGCUGGUCGGCAGCCUUUUGGCGACACGCGUCACAACACAGCCAUUGUUGCUUGCCGAUCGUAGCCAGUAGUCGGGCAGAGAUGGCAUUACUUUGAUUGAAACUUUGUUUGUAGAAGGAUUCGCCGAUCAGCGCUCUUUUGGUGACACACAACCAUUACCGCCGCCCUUUUUGCUCAACUGUUACACAGAGCGUCGUCAACGGCGCGGCGGGUGGAUUUUCAGCGAGUCGGUCGAAAUAAAAAUCAUUUAUCUAGCAGAGAUUUCUGUUUCCAUCCUGAAAACCCUGUCACAGUAACGUUCUACGAAAAGUAUUUGCAACGCUACUUUACAACUUGGUUCUCUCAUGCAACAACGGGUUUUUUCGAUAUGUAAAUAACCAGUGAAAGUUUAAACAAAAUUCUCCAUGUUUUUCCAUGUUUUUCCGUUAUUCCGUUGAUUUUUUUUUUAUAUCUAGAAAAUACGUCUAUCUUAUAAAUUCGAGAACAACAAUCGAUUGAUUUCAAUCCAAACAAUUUAAAAGUUCAAGCUUCUCUUCGAAUUUAUUUCGUCGCGUUGAAUUUCACCUCGAUGCGCGUUGUCGAUAUUCUGGCAGAAUUUCGUUUUCGUUCUUCGUAACAACAUUUAAUGCCUUUGUUCGUUUCUUUUUGCAAGUUUUUCUCGGAAGUUUAUCUCUUUUCGUCGGAAAAACUUUCGAUGCUUUUUCCGUUGCACGUAGAUUCCUUGAACGAUGAUGUAUGGAAUACGAUUCAAAUACGUGUACCUACUACCUAUUGUAAAAAACAUAGAAAUAGAAUUUUUCUUCUUUUUUUCGUGUCUUCUUGUUUUUAAAUUUCACUUCGAGUUGGAUGCAGUAACCGUUCGUUUCUUUCAUUCGGUACAGUAUUUCCACCGCGUAACUCCAACAGGAUUAAGUUAUUGUCGACAAAUUUACCAUCCGUAUAUUUCUCGAAACAAUCUUGAACACUUAUUCGGAAUAUUUAGUCGACGAAACUUUGACAAAUUUCUACUUUAUUUGUUUAAAUAGUUCUUUGUUUACGUUUAUUUGUGUGUGUUUUAUGCUGUCGCGAAUCAUACGGAUGACACGCCACUUAACGAAUCGUUAUAAAAGGGAAUUAAAGUCAUAUCACUUAUGUAUAAUAUUCUUUAUGGAAAAUCUAACUACACAGUUUUGUCGUUCGUUUUAAUAGACGCACCGGCACAAUUAUCAUAAAUUGUAAUCGAUGAAAAAUUCGGUUAGGUCUGGGUCUCUCUCUCUCUCUCUCUCUCUCUCUCUCUCUCUCUCUCUCUCUUUCUCUC